rnacentral:rRNA from 1 species
UACAGGGGGUGCAAACGUUGCUCGGAAUUAUUGGGCGUAAAGCGCGUGUAGGCGGCUUUGCAAGUCGGGUGUGAAAGCCCUCAGCUCAACUGAGGAAGUGCGCCCGAAACUGCAGAGCUUGAGUACCGGAGAGGGUGGCGGAAUUCCCCAAAGUAGAGGUGAAAUUCGUAAGAUAUGGGGAGGAACACCGGUGGCGAAAGGCGGCCG